rnacentral:rRNA from 1 species
GGACGAACGCUGGCGGCGUGCCUAACACAUGCAAGUCAACGGGGGUAGAGAGGGAGCUUGCUUCUUUUCUACUUAGUGGCGGACGGGUGAGUAACGCGUGAGUAACCUGCCUUCAGGAGGGGGACAACAUUCCGAAAGGGAUGCUAAUACCGCAUGAUAUACAGAGGAGGCAUCUUUUCUGUAUCAAAGAUUUAUCGCCUGAAGAUGGACUCGCGUCUGAUUAGAUAGUUGGUGAGGUAAUGGCUCACCAAGUCGACGAUCAGUAGCCGACCUGAGAGGGUGAUCGGCCACAUUGGAACUGAGACACGGUCCAAACUCCUACGGGAGGCAGCAGUGGGGAAUAUUGCACAAUGGGCGAAAGCCUGAUGCAGCAACGCCGCGUGAAGGAAGAAGGUCUUCGGAUCGUAAACUUCUGUCCUUAGGGAAGAUAAUGACGGUACCUUUGGAGGAAGCCCCGGCUAACUACGUG